UACGUAGGGUGCAAGCGUUAAUCGGAAUUACUGGGCGUAAAGCGUGCGCAGGCGGUUUCUUAAGUCAGAUGUGAAAGCCCCGGGCUUAACCUGGGAACUGCGUUUGAAACUGGGAGACUAGAGUGUGGCAGAGGGGGGUGGAAUUCCACGUGUAGCAGUGAAAUGCGUAGAUAUGUGGAGGAACACCGAUGGCGAAGGCAGCCCCCUGGGCUAACACUGACGCUCAUGCACGAAAGCGUGGGGAGCAAACAGG
rnacentral:rRNA from 1 species